UGGUAUUGAGCCAUUGAGCUCUAGCCAGCAUUUGUCGCCUCUCGCGAGUUGUUGCGGUCGCCUAUCGUCACGACUCAUUUGCGGGUUUGUAUGCCCGCUUUUUUUUUUUUUAAGGAAUUCGCUCGGGAUAUUACUUUUUCCAGGAAUUCUUCUGUUCAAGGUUUCGUGGCUAAACGUCUGACGCUGACAGCAGAAGCUAACGGUUGCUGCCGGGUUUCAGAGCAAGACUUAUCAAGCGAUCCCCCUGAGGUGGCAGCUUGGUACUGCACGAAGUCUCGACCAAUGCGCAUUUAUUUCCAGUCACUUUGAAGGCACCCACAAGCUCCUUUAGGAUAAGGGAGCACGAGACUUCCCAAUGGAGUUCGACCUCAAGGAAACUGUGGGCGUGUCACACGGCCAAUAACCAAUUUUGAAAAGGAGCCGCCGGAGGCGCAUUCAUUGGUAUUUGAUUUUUGUAGAAUUACAAGAAUGUAACUUCCAAUUAAGCUCGUAGCUAUUAUAAUUAACACUCCUUCCAUAAAAAUUGAUUCAAUAUAUUUGAUGUGGAAAACAUACCUCAUUAAAAAUCGGUGUGCUCACUAAACAUAGCAGUGCUGACAGCGACACUAGCCACCCUGUGCUUUCCAUUACGGCAUGGCGAGUAGGCUCUGCAUUCUGCUACCCGAACUGCUGCAAACUAUACUAAAACACAUAAUUUCGUGCACGGUGACCUCGUCAGCUUUCCUUUUGUCUACUGUGCCAAUGUCACUCGACCACACCUACCAUUGCAUGGCUGGCACGACAAAGGCUACGUUUACAUAAACCGGACGCGAGUGGGUGAAGUCUGAAUUCGGGAUGACCGAGCCUGAUGUGACAGUGUUUACAUGAACUGCUUCUGAAUGACGAAUCGGGACUCGACGGCAAACAGCGUCGAGCCGAGACAACACGUUCGAACUAGGCUUCUGGUUCCAGCUGCCAUCUGCAACAGCUCUAUUUUCAUAGGUCUUUUUACGAAGAGGUUGUACGGCACAGUGCUUGUCUUGGCCUCGUCCUGAUGCUAUUCCCACUGCCGGCGCCUAGAUAGUGAUGUCACGGUGCUCCCGUGCAAGUCUCGGUGCUGGUGGGCUCGAUCUGUCUGCGUGCACAUGCAUGCUGCAAACUGGUCUGAUUGGGUCAGCCUACCCCAUAUAGUCGGGCUGACUGCGCCCGACUUUACACUUGUUCAGCCCAACUGGCUAGUGUUUACAUGAACUCGACAGGCAUACUCCAGCCGAACAAGCUGACUCGACCCAAUUCUGUAGGGUUCAUGUAAAUGCUCUGAAAGACUAGAAAAACAUGGUGCCAAGCGGCCUAAGUGGGCAUUAUUGUGCAGCAACAAGCAUAACUGUUGCUGAAUUGUGCUUCAGCUUUCAUUUACUUCAAUAGAAAUGUCCUAACACACGCAACAUUACUUUUAAUGCAAACAAUAAUUAAAUUCUCAGUUCCACAACAAGUAUGAACAAGUAUGGGACGUCACGGGAUCGAAUUUCAGCCACAGUGGCCGCAUUUCAGUGGAGGUAAAAUGUGAAAACACUCAUUGACUUAGAUUUAAGUGCAUGUUAUAGAAUCCCUGGUGGUCCAAAUUAUUCCUGCUUCCCCCACUACUGCAUGCCUCAUAAAUCGAGGUUUUGGCCUGUAAAACCCCAUAAUUCUUUUAAGCGAGAGUACUCCCCUCAGCUGCCAAAGGAGAGUGCCAAUCUCCCUCGACCAAAAGCUUAAUUAAACUUUCUUAGCUGAUGGGCGACCAUGUGACACUGAGUGCAUCUCCCUCAACAUAACGACGACAGAGUUAAAAGGAGGUUGUGGGUGCCUGUGUGACAGGUGUAUCAAGCUCUUGCUGAGUGUAUUUAUGCAUGCACAAUAGAGGUGGCUGCGUGUAACUCAACGGUACAUUAGAUUUUUCAUGCUUGUCAGCUACACAGUUCAUUACAAAGGUUUUACACAGCAACAGCCUUGGUUUGAAAGCCUGGCUGAAUUUUCUUUGAAGCAUCUGAUCAGCUCAAGCUGCUAUAAUUUUGGACUGUAGUGUAUUGGAUUCUUAAGUUGGAUAAGUGCUACAACAGUUCACACACUUCUGUGUUGCAAUACCAAGGAAUUGAUUUAAUGUCCUGGCAUGCAUGCUAAUUAGUGCAGGUUAUGGUGUGACCCCUUGCAGAAUUGAACUGCAAGAAGUUCAGUGUUUAACAUUGUACCUUGUUUUUCUAGUAACGUAAGUUGGACAGCUUCUUGUUAUACACUCUCUUUGGCCAAUUGCACUAUAUGUACAGCUCCUGCAGAUAUAUAAAAAGGGCACACUGGACUUUCCACAAGUGAACUUCACUGCACCAGGUCGCAUGGAAAAUGACACCACAAUUCCUGGACAGACCAGUUCGGAUGUCAUGUUCUUGACAGCAGUAUUUCCAACCACAAAUGUAAAGCAUUGUGUUGCAAUCCCCUUCUCUCCCCCCUGAAUUUCUGGGGUGCUGUAGACUUCCACAUAUUUGUGAAUGAAAAUUUUUUGGACUGCUUGUCUGAGGCAGGCUGAAGCAAACACUGAAGCUUCUCAUAUUUUUGGUGGUAUGCCUUGGUGUAGUACUGUAAUGGAAUUGUGAACUACAUGUCUGACGAAAGCAGUGCUGAUUACAACUUUUCAUGCUGUGUUCAGCAUAGUAUUUUGAUAUGGUUCAUGUGUUGAGCUUUCUUUUAAAAAAGAAAUACAAAACUACUUUCAUAAUUAUGUUGCUGUCAGAAUGCUUAUGCCUGCUGAUAAGUGGAAUACCAUCUGUAGUUGCGAAAGCUUUAGUUAAGUGUUAAAAGAUGCAUCAACUGCUGCUGCUUGUCGAUGUCUUCGAGUACAAAUCUAUGCUGUAUGUAAACUGUUGUUGCAGCACUGUUCAGUUCAUCAGCAAAGAAUAAAGAAGCCCAACUCAAUUCUAUUUAAGAUGCUGCUGUGGAGCUGCAAAGUGCUUGGCACACUUUUUCCAGAUUUAACUAGAAAGCAUCCGUUUUUUUUUUUUUUGUCGCAACGCUGUAGUCAGUGUGGCUGCUGUGCUGGAAGAAAAACGGGAAACCUCGGCAUGGAGCCAAUGUACUGACAAAGCGACUUGUCUUCAGCACAGUAUGGUUUCUUGAAAACGGAACAGAAUUUUCACACUAUUUCGCUGUACCAUUAGUUCUACAACUUGCACACUGUCUCCCUGGGCACUUCUGCCGAGUUGCUAGCAGUGUAUUAGUUGUACAAAAGAGGGUGCCAUGGCCUUAAAUACAAAAGUCCUGGCAAUACCUGCUGGUUGUUCAGAAAAGAAUUCCAGGAAAAUUGCGAAGUCCAAGGAGCAUUGUGCAGCAUACACAUCUUUCAUGCACUUCGUCACUUGUUCUGGCUCUUUGGCUAAUCCUAAGAGUUUCAGAAAUGCUCAUCAGUGCCCUGAAAUAUUCUCUAGACUCCAUCCACUCUUGUCAAAAGGACAGACUCGCCUCUGUGAUGUUUUAGAACAUUCACAUUUUCCCCUCUUGCCAAGUGUGCAAAAGACUGUUGGCUACUGCAUGUUUUUUGUGAUGCACAAAAGUAUGCAGAAUGCGAGGUGGUAUCAUCGCUUGGUGAUUAGUUUUCCUCCCCAAGUUUUCUUACUGCACUGGUCUUGCAAAGCCAGUUUCAUAACUGCUGCUUUAUAGUGUUCUUUGCUAUGAGAAAAAUUUGCGUUUUCAAUAUCCCCAAUAAUCUGAAAAGCAAACAUAGGUAUGGGAUCUUGUAAAUCAGUGCUGGUAAAGCUUGUACUACUAGCAAAUUUUGUUUCAUAGGUAUUUGAAAGUAUAAAUGUCCUUGUGGAAACACUUUGUGAUAUAACUGUUCUGUUAGCCAAUAUAUAGGGUGUUACAGCUAACGUUAGCCAAGCUGUUCAACGAAACAAAUUAUUAAAUAAACACGGUGCAAGAUGCAACUUUAAAGGGUCCCUGAAAUGGUUAGGACAAAUUUUGUAGGUGCAUAGGGUACAGCUACAGUAAAGCAUUAGCACCACAAUUUAAGUGAAGUGUCUGAUAUUAAGAGAGCUCAACUCCUCCUCAACUCGUUUGCCGAGUGAUUGGCAGUAAGCUCCGCCUUCACUGGAUCUGCAUCUUGAUGUGACAUUGCGUCGUCUACUUGCUGUUGCCUUGGAGCCAGCGCGCGAAGCCUCUCCAACCUCUCCGCUAGCAGCAUGGCUGUCGAUCCCCCGUGAGAGCUAUCCAAGCAGCAUGUGUUGCGAGUGUUCUAUCGCAGUGCUGAGCGUGUCUGGUUUUCCGGUAACUGCAGGCGAGGUUGGUGUUUUGGUGGAUGGGCGAAGGCGUAAACUAAGCUCCUCCACUCUACUACCGCUGUGAUAAAGGGGUUUUAGCGUAAAUGUGAGCAGCCUGCAAGGUGUAGCCACCUGGUGGUGCAGAGCUUAACCAGCAAAACACAGCUACCAUUGCUGUAAACAAGUGUAAAGCAUUUUAAACAUUUAAAAAGACAUGUUUGCAAUUAUGUUCCUGCUGAAAUUUUACCCCAUCAGCAAAAUAGAGUACACUUGGUUACUGCUAUAUUAGCUCUGUGGGUUUUCUGGUUGAGCUCUGCGCUACCAAGUGGCUGCACCGUGCUGGUCGUUCAUGUUUGUGCCUCCGCUUACCUGCUAAAAUGCCCAGUUCGCAUGCACCUGAAUACCGGACACUGAAACUCUAUAUUGUGGUAAUCCUCCAGCGUGAAGUGACAGCCACAAGCGCGCAAAACCUGGUGCCAAUCCCGGCCACGGUGGCCGCAUUUUGAUGGGGGCGAAAUGCGAAAACACCCGUGUAAUUAUAUUCAGGUGCACGUUAAAGAACCCCAGGUGGUCGAAAUUUCCGGAGUCCUUCACUACGGCGUGCCUCAUAAUCAGAAAGUGGUUUUGGCACGUAAAACCCCAUAAUUUAAUUUUUUUUUAACCUGGUGCCAAUCGGUUAGCGACAGUCUAAUGCGCUGCAGCCACUCUGCUCGUUAGCUGCUUUGCAGAGGGACACUAUGUCGCAGCAUGGCAUAUCGCUGAUCACUGUCUGCAGCCCACAAUGCAACAAGGGCGAACCGUGGUGCUCGCGAAAAGAAAGCUCGAGAGCAACACUGACUGUGCAGGUUGCGUCAGCAUGGAGCGCACUGGAACACAAGCAGACACUUGCUGCGUGCUGGAAGUGUUCGAGUGUAGUGAUGAAUUGUAGUUAUUCUUUUUCUGCAACUUUUUUUAUAGAAACAAAUUAAACAACAUUGCAGCUAUUGCGAACAUUGUUCACCAUAAAGUUGGAAAAGUGAUAGAUGACGUGACCUAGGUAGCCAAUUGGAUAGCUUGUCCAACUGAUGUUAGUUGAGCCAAAUGCGUCAAUUGGGUUGGUGUGGCUGAAUACACAGGGGAGCGGCGCUGCUGCGAUGGGUAGUGAUGGCACACUUUUAAAGCCUUAUAAUAAAUUACAAGCUUUUUGCGGAGUGCUUAAAUAUGUCAGUGAUCAGAAGAACCCAUCCUAAAGACUCUAUGUUUCUACAAAAUCAACAUUUUUUCAGGUUUACUUUAAUACCUUCAGUGUUCAGUUGUCUGGACACUGAACAUCAUAGGUCUUACAAUUUAAUCUUGCACCUUGAUUUUAUUUAAAUUUUUUUUCAUUGACCUGCAUGGCUAACAUUAGCUGGAACACACGGUAUAUUUUCUUGGAGGCGGCCAAAGUAAUGCUGCUGUGGAGCAUGAUAUGGUGUUUACUAUCAUUAAGCAUACUGCUGCCUUACAGUAGGCUUGUAAUGAGCCUUACAAAAGGCAGCUUGGAUGAGAUUGUCUCUUGGAUGAUAGACUGAGCUCCAAUGCGACACCAUAUAAUGUAAUCUUGCUAAAAUUUAUUAAAAAGGAUUUAUAAUGGAUAAUGAUUGAUUGAUGCCUACGAAAUGUAACAUAUAGUCUACAGAAAAAGAAAUUUGACAUCAGGGGAGGAAAGAAGAAACAUUGCAAACUUUGAUUCACACUAUUUGCCUUUAAGUGUACAAAUGGCCUGGUGGAGGUAGUAUGCCUUCUGUACAGGUGCCUUUAAUAAAAUCAGCAAAACUCGCCAAAUGCUCGCCUUCACACUACCAGUUUCAUUCAUACAAGGCACACUUGCGAGCAGAAGUUUGGAGACCACGGAUGCUACAAAAUUUUUUUGCAUUUCAGCCUAGGCAUGCAGGCUGAAAUCAAGUGGUAUAACCUAUGUAUACCUGUUUGAUCAAUGAAGUGCACUGAGCCAGUUCCACAUUGCGUGUCUGCGCUAGAAAUUAAAAUGUCUUGCUUAUGCUGUGGUUUCUUAAACUUUAGCUUGCGAGCGUACAAUGGAGACGAGGCCAACACAUUAGCCUGACUUUAUGGCUGCAAGAACUGUUGCAUAACCAACCAUAUAACAUGUAGGCACUCGGAAGAUAAGAGUUAUCUGCCAUAUAAGUUGAUGUUAUGAAAGUGCUGCCUGUGGCGAUGAUUUACUGGACUUCAAUAGUUUUUAUACGCGAGAAUUCGUUUGGCUACCCUACCCUGAUUUGGUCUAUGAGGAAUCGAACCAGGGCCUGCGGAGUGCGGUAAGCGAGUACCUAUCCUUGGCAGCAUGCCAACAGAUGAGAAGGGAGCGCAGAAUAUGUGCGAUAGUAAAGCGAAAGAGCACCACCACUGUUGUGCUGUCACAAUAUCGUCAUGCAUGCGCAGCUUGCAUGUGGAGGGUUAGGAGGGUAGGGUAGAAUUUAGACAGUCAUUGUAGAUUGGUUCUGCCGGAAAUUUUUCAUUAGUGGCUUACUUGCCAUUUGCAUGUGCUGUUUCUUGCCUUGUAUUUAAUAACUUUUGGAAUGUAGGUGAAAGGAUGAAGCAGUUCAUGUCAACAUUGUCAAGAGACUUGAAGUACUUUAAUUGCAAGCAUUGCACCAGGCCAAUUUGUGAAUGCUUUGGAUCACUCGUUGCGUGGUUGUCAUUGCUGCACAUCAAAGGGGCUAGCAGUGACCGCUCAGACAGAGGAUGCGCAACACUAAUUAUGUGUUUAAUUGGUUUUGAUGUCGCAGUAGUGGGAAGAAGGAUACGUUCAGUGGGAAUGGUUGCAAGACAACACAUAAAUUUGGUGGGUGUUUAGUAUGUUGCGUUUUCUGCACCUUGUUACAAUAGCUAAUGCCCAAUGUGAAGGACGGCAGAGGAGUCUGUUAUGGCACUUUGACACAUUCCAGUUUCCUCUUUGCUUAAUAAAUGUUUGAAACAUUACAGCAUCCUUGAGCAGCAAGGUGCAUUUACAAAAACUUGGUUGUAUAGUGUGCACCUGGUGACCUGUGCACAUGCACGAAUGAUUUGAGUUCAAAUUUAUAUUAACUGCCACUCAUGUUUGAAGCCAAGUGAGCUUCAUUUGUAGCAAAGCAGAAAAUUCAUGCAUAGCCAUAGCAAGAAACUUUGCAGGACCUACUUCUUAGAGCAGGUAUGCAUUAAUUUUGAAGCUAGUAAUAGAAAUUUUAUAUUGCUGUGAUGGCAAGAAUGCAGGAUGUAUGUGGAUCCAAAAGGGGUGAAGGAGCGACAUAGGUCUGAUUUCAAGACCUUGGAUAAGGAAAGUGGCAUGCUGAUGCAAGAUCGCUGUGUGCCCUAAACAUUUUUUCUUGCUAGGAAAGGUAAAUGGAACUGCUUCAUUGUAAGAAUCGCACAGUAUAUAUCCUUGCCUAUGUUUGAAUCGCACAAUUCUUCGUUUCAUAUGUAGCAGGCAGCAUUACAAAGGCUAGAUGCUAGACACACUUCUCUCUCAGUAUGCAUUCAUAACAACAACAAAAAAAAUAGUGCAUCACAUAUGAACGGUGUAGGUACACAUCAUGUAGUUUGAUACAACAUUAAAAGCUUGUACUCAAAUGCUGCAAUAUAUGACAUUACAUAAAGGGCAUUGUGGAUGCGAACCUACUUAACGCCGAAUGAGCAGAGUGGAAUGUUUCUGCGGCCAGUGGCCACAGUGCAUGGCUUGUGCUUGUGACCAAACAUGGUGCUCUGCAUACUACAAACCACAAAGGUGCAACAGAUAUGUGGAUAACAUUGUUUUUUGGCCACAUGUUCAAAUAUCUGUAGUUGGGUGCAGGUCAAAAAUAACUGCACACAGAAACGUGUGGAGAGAAACCUUGAUUGCCACACUACGUGCACAGCUUCCACGGCAUUGCCUGCUAAGCAUUAAGCGCAGUAUAAAUAGGUCGCUUUAUUUCUCAACUUUCUCUGCGUUGGUUUUUUAUAAAGUGACUGCAGAGAAAAUGCGUACUGACACAAAAUUGUUUUGUCUUUUGCUUUAUGAAUAGCUGUGGGCCUAAUAAUGGAAUGGGUCACUUGCUACUGUGCAUCUUAUAAUAAAUGAUGUUUAUAUUGUAACCAGAUUUUUUUCUUUCUUUGAUGUAGAAUGAGUGCAACCUCCUUUAUGGCUGGUUUAAACGCCCUUUGAAGUAAUCAUAUCUGGUGGUAAUCACGAAGUGCCAGGGACAUGCCAAUUUCAGCAUUCAUCUGUUCGACACAUGCAUACCAUCGUCGUCCAAAUAAUCGUCACCAUUAUUGGCACAAAUUAAUCCAACUUGGUGUUGUUGAGGCUCCACAUGGGGAAACAAGAGGGCUACUGUGGUGUACGUGGAUGCAAUUAUGCUUUGCACCAUCAUCACAACAUGGUGGUCAUUUUCAACAUGGAUGAUGUGCAAGCACGCUGUACGUAAUGCAACCAGUGUUAAUAUGCUGCUUUAAUAUACCAUAAUUUUCUCUGCCACUGGCGAGCUAAUCCACAUAUGCACUUAGUAGGGUUGUAGCAGAUAAGCUAGCAUGCAGUAAGCUUGUAAGUAGUUGGGAUAAUGUUAAAAUAGUUUCAGUACGCUCAGCCACCUUAAUCUCGUGAAUAUGCACAUUGUGGGGAACACCACAGUGCAAGUGAGCAGCCUAGCAUAGAAUUGUCAUAGGAGCAUCUCCUACCUUUGUACUUAGUGCAAGUAUUAGUGAUGUCAACAGCUUUAGCUUAAGGUCCGCAGCUGCAGGCCACAUGUUGAUGUCUGCCAUGGGUUGCUACAGCUUGUAAAUGGCUGCUGGCCUGUGGUCUUUAUGAUAAUAUAUAAUGGUGGCAACAUUUGCCAUAAAUACUUAGUCGGAGAUAUGCAUAUAUGCACGGUAAUUGAAUAUCACAAUCAUCUGAUGGUUGUAAUUUUGUGUGUACUCCUUCAAAGGCAAACUUUCCCUUGAAUUUCGUGUCCACAUUGUGACUACAGUAACUUCGCGUGGUUCUUGGCAUUUUCGCAUACUUGAGCUAUUCGUGAAAAAAAAAAGAA